rnacentral:tRNA from 1 species
GGGGCUAUGGCGCAGCUGGUAGCGCACCUGCAUGGCAUGCGGGGUCGGGGUUCGAGUCCCCUAGCUCCACCA